rnacentral:rRNA from 1 species
UACAGAGGUCUCAAGCGUUGUUCGGAUUCAUUGGGCGUAAAGGGCGCGUAGGUGGCCCGGUCAGUUCGUGGUGAAAGCGCGGGGCUCAACCCUGCGUCGGCCAUGAAUACUGCCGCGGCUGGAGCACUGUAGAGACAGGCGGAAUUCCGGGUGUAGCGGUGGAAUGCGUAGAGAUCCGGAAGAACACCGGUGGCGAAGGCGGCCUGCUGGGCAGUUGCUGACACUGAGGAGCGAAAGCGUGGGGAGCGAACAGG